UAGUGUUCCGCGCCUGUGUUCCUAAAUUGACUGGGAUCCGCGCAUCUAUUGUUAUUCCUAGGAUCAGCUGUUCAACUCAUUGACAGAGUACAACACGUGCAAACAAACUGUGUAUCUCACCUGAAUCAGUCAAUGUCAAUAUAAUUUCACCACGCAAUCGGUGUACGUAUUAUGAGCCUGUUCCCAUAGAAUGGUGAGAAAGUGUUUUCGAAUAUUUUUUAUCUGAUUAAUAUAUUUUAUGACUUAUUUUGGAGAAAUGUAAUUCAUGUAUAUUAUAAGAGUUACCUCCCGCUAAAUGUUUAAAGUACAAUUAUAGUAAGAUAAUGUAAAAAUAUUAUCUUGAUGGAAAUACAUAUAUAUUGUACUAAUGUUAUAUUUUGAUAUAAAUUAUAUUAUUGUUUUAUGAUAUUUCAGGGCUUAAAUAUACAUUGCAAAUUUUAAAGUCACUGUGUCCGGAUACGAAUAAACGAACCAUACAGAUA